rnacentral:rRNA from 1 species
GUGGGGAAUCUUAGACAAUGGGCGCAAGCCUGAUCUAGCCAUGCCGCGUGAGUGAUGAAGGCCCUAGGGUUGUAAAGCUCUUUCAGCUGGGAAGAUAAUGACGGUACCAGCAGAAGAAGCCCCGGCUAACUCCGUGCCAGCAGCCGCGGUAAUACGGAGGGGGCUAGCGUUGUUCGGAAUUACUGGGCGUAAAGCGCGCGUAGGCGGACUGAAAAGUUGGGGGUGAAAUCCCGGGGCUCAACCUCGGAACUGCCUUUGAUACUGGGUGUCUUGAGUAUGAGAGAGGUGUGUGGAACUCCGAGUGUAGAGGUGAAAUUCGUAGAUAUUCGGAAGAACACCAGUGGCGAAGGCGGCUCACUGGCUCGAUACUGACGCUGAGGUGCGAAAGCGUGGGGAGCAAACAGGAUUAGAUACCCCGGUAGUCC